UUUGCCGUCCGGUGCUUCUUACAUAUAGCUUGGAGAAGAGGUUGAGACCUCGAUAUGAAGUUCUGAAUUUUCUUGAUCAGAAUAAAUUGCUGGAUAAAGGACAUGACCUGCUAUCUGUCAUCCUGCUAUCUGAAGAGAAGUUCAGAAACAAAUUCCUUUUCGUGCUAUGCAAGGAGAAAUUUAUUGCUCAAUAUGAUUCCUAUGUUGCUGCUGUGCGUGGAAAGCACCACGUUGUUGUGGAAAACUAGGAUUGCAAGUGCUUCCUCGAGACAAAAGUGUAAACCUAAUGCAUGCUGACCGAAACUUAAUCAUUUUACAUUUGUGACAAUUUAAAUUCUCCAAGAGUUUAUUAGAGUAGAACUUCCAUGUUGAUUUUUGGGAUUUUUCCUCUAUUUAUCUUUUUCUACAACCAAAGAAUGCUGAUUCAUAUAUGCUGAUGUCCCAGAAAGUGGAGUUUGGGGGAAGUCAAUUACUUAGGAAAGGUAACAAAAAUAUCAAGCUUUUGUGUUAUGUUUUUACCGUAUCUAGCCAAUUCACAUACUUAUUAUUGAAUUUGAGUUAUGUUGUUGGUUGCAUGGUAUGUAAUUUCAAAUGAUAUUGUUUGUAUCGAGCGGUACCUAUCGGUCUGACAAUAUAUCGAUAUGUGGACCGUUUGCUAUCGAACGAAUCAUGCUUCAGUGCUACAGUAAUAUACUUUAGUAGUUCUAUAGUAAGAGGAAAUCGUGCAGUAAACCUUGGUGUACCAUACGAUACAUGAUACGUCUGUGUUGUAUUGUACCGAGCAAACCUUGAAACAUUGAUAUAUGAUAUGAUAUUGCAUAUCUUGGUUGAUUGUAUCUAAUUUUUUAUAGUAACAUUUUAAUUGUAUUAAGAGAUCAAUUAGAUCACAUAUAUAUCUCCUAUUAAGUAAGCUAUUUUAUUCUUGUGAAAUUAACGAAAAAAUAAGACAGAUUUUAUAAUUUAAAUGAUAAAAAGAUCAGAAGAUUUUCUAGAGAUGUUUCUAUCUAUAGAAUUCAAUGUAUAAACUAUUUAAAAAAUAUUUUGAAUAUAAAUAGUUAUUAUAUAUUUUUAUUACAAAUAAUAUUGUGAAAGAUUGCUUAUAUUUGCAACAUUGGAAUGUGUGUGAUAAUAUCAUUUUCAAUGUUGAUGAUGAAUAGUAGCAACCUUUGUAUGGAUGAUAGUUAUGGAUCAAGAUUUGAACAUAAGAGAAUAGAUCCUAGAUGAAAGUAGAUUAACCAUGCCCAUUUAAUUAGUUAAAUCUAUUGAUGAUUAGAUAAAGCCGAUGAAAUAGAAGGAUAAAAAUUUUAUUUAUAAAUAAGGAUUAAAUAUUUAUAAAUUUAACAUAAUUUUACAUCAAAUAUUUUAUUAUAUCAUUAUAUAUUUGUACUUUUUAUAGUUAUACAUCCAUGGUCUUCAAAAUUUUAAAAAAAUUAUAAAAAAUUUUAUAUUAUAAAUUUUUUUUAAAUGAAAUAAUAAAAAAUUAUGAUUUUUAUUCAAAAUUUUGAAUUGACAAUUUUUGAAAUGGAUGAUUCUGAAAUGGUGAAUAAGUCUUAAAUAUAACUUAUAUUUAAAUCAUCAAAUCUUAUAUUUGCUGGUUUAGUUUGUGAAUUGAAGGACAAUUUACUUGUAACAGUAGAAAGAGGUUUGAAUGCUUUAAGUUUGACAACAUAUGUUUUUUACAUAGAGCAUAAAUAGUUCGGAUAUUACGGCUUUUUGUUAUUAGUGUGAUUGUUAGCACUUGUUGGCUUUAUUGGCAAAUUCUCACUGAUUUAGAUUAUGGCUUUAUUGAGAAAGUUCUUUACUACAGCUGAAGCUAUUGAUGUCACCGGCCGCCCGAUAAGUGGGCCGGGGAUGCGAGUUCAACCCGGUGCGGCCCGCCUGAUUCGGGUUGUGUCGAGCCCGAGUCAAGUCAAUUUGGAUCUCUGGUUCGAUUGAACCAGAUGAGAACGGCAUUCUCAAAAUUCCCACCCGUGCCCUAACUGCAGCGGUGAAAGUGUCUCCUCCUAUAUAGCGACCGCGAAUGCGGCGUUUUACUUGGCGAAAGGCGGCUGAAGCGGCGGCAUCUUCCUCCGUCGGGCUUUUAUCGCUGCGGCGUUUUCCUCGGCGAACGGUGGAUGCUGCGGCUUCCUCUCCGUCAGCGAACGGUACAACGCCCGGUAUCUCUCUCUUACUCCUCCUCCUCCUCCUUCGCCGUCACACAAUCCCUUCUCCUCCCUCUUCCCCCUUUCGUCGCAGCUCUCCCGAUUCCCCGACACCAUCCUCCUCCUCCCUCUUUCACCCGUUCAUCGCAGCCCCCCGCCCCUCUUCCCCGAUCCAUCCCCCUCCUCCACUUCAUCACAGUCCCCGCCCCCCGUUUUCCUACUCCGAUCCCAACGGUCCCCUCUCAGUUUUCCUACUCCGGACCCGACAGCUCCCUCUCCAUUAUCUUGCUCCGGACCCGACAGCCCCCGUCUCCCUCCUCUACACCCCUCUUCGCCCUCUCUAUACAUCUUCCCGUCCCCUUUCCUUCUCCCUGAUAGUUACCCGCUACCCUCCCAACAAGUAGUCAGCAGCAUGUUUUGAGCAUUUACUUUAAAGAAAUAGCAAGUCACAGUAUGCAAGUUAAAUACUGUUGUUAAGAUAGAAAGCAGGAGAAGUGCUGCUUUUAUAAAGAGCAAAGAGAAUUGGGGAGUCUUAGAGAAAAAUAAAAAAACACGGAAAAGAUAGAACAAGAGAUAGCAGAGACAAUAAUUGGGUCACUGUCCAAAGAAAAUCAUAAUUAUUUGUCAAUAGAAUCAUGCACAAGUCGGACUAUUCCUCAUGUGAAGCAUUUUAAUUAAAAAUAUACCUAAGAUAAUACUAAUUUGACUAGGUUUCGCGAAAGAAGCUCCCUCAACAGCAACUGCUUAUUUUGAUGAAGUGUUUGGUUCAUCAAACCUCUUAGUUUUCUUAUUAUGUAUACUGCAUUGCAGUUUCCUUUUCAAGCACAUCAGAAAAUUUCAACACAAAACCCCAAAUGUUACAAAGGACUCGAUCAAUCUAAACUACAAGUUGAGUAAACAAAUAGAAUUUGACUUGAUUUCCAAACCCGAAAAUAGACCCAAAAUCUCAAAUGUAUUUGGUUAGGUAUAACCUUACACCUUUAUGUCAGCAUAGUGUGUUCUCUGCUGUAGUGCUGAAAGCAACUAUCUCAGCUACUUGAGGCUUGUUCGUACCUCAAAACACACAGGCCUGCUUAUAUUUGAAUUGUCAAAUCUUGUAUUUGCUGGUUUAGUUGGUGAUUUGAAGGGGCCUUUUCCAGUAACAACAGAAAGAGAUUUGAAUGCUCUUACUUUAACUACAGAUAUUUUCUUAUACAUAGUUCGAUGAUGCAGAAGAUCCAUAUGGCUGAUCAUGAAUAGUUUGGACAUCAUGGCUUUUGUUAUUAUUGUGGUUGUUUGCACUUGCUGGUUUUAUUGGCAAAUUCUCACUGAUCUAGGCUUUUUUUUUCUUCAUUAAUGAUAUUUAGCUGACGCCACAUAUAAUUUUUUUAACUGUAGUUGAAGUUAUUUACAUGACCAAUCUUUCUCAUAAAUUAAGUUCCUUUAUCAGCAUAGAACCAAAUAAACUAGUAGCAUUUCUUGAUUGAGGCAGUUUUCUUAUCUCUUUAUUCAUUUUUCAGAAAAUUUAUUGCCUUUCUCUGGUCUUCCAGCUAUGUUUUUUUUUUUUUUUUGUCAAGUUGCUCAUCAUCAUCAACAAUGCCCUUUUUAGCAUGUUGAACCUUACAAAUUACCCUUGUUAAAUAAUUAAACAGUGUCUUUUCUGCUUACCAGUCUUGCUAGACUUUUAACUAGAUCAUCUCUUUACAUUCUUGAUGAAAUGGAUCAAUUACUCUGGUAGUUCUCAUUUGAAAUGUUUCAGGUUUUAGUUGUAGGACAUUAGUGAAUCUGAUGUUAGAGAAAACAUUAUGCAUCUUCCACUUAUUCUGAAUUCUGUAGUACCAUUAGCAAGUCAUUGAUGUUCAACCUAUAAGUAUAAACUUGAGUAUCGUCUGUAUACGAUCGACAAUGUAAAUGCCUAUGCCACUCUUAUGCAGCAUAUUUGAUGAAGAUACAUUUGAUAUGGUUUUUAAAUUGCUACAGGAAUAUAGGAUGCUUGGUAGUGUCUAAACCCACCAACUACAAUAUAAAAAUAAGUGGAAGAUAGUGUCUGUGCUCUGGUGUUAUAUGAUGCCAGUAUUUUAGUGGUGGAGAAUUGCUCUGAUGUGAGCAUUUGAAUGAGUAACGAAUUAUAGGUACUCGUUAUCAACUCUCAAACACCAUUUAGAGACUUAUCUCUGGAAGAAUUGGCUGAUUGGAAUUGAAUGCAUGUGGAUUAACACAAGUGGUAUAGGAAUGCUGUCUGAGACAAAUGAUUAGUUGAAAGUUUUCAAUAUCCUUGAUUGGAGGCAGAAGUUGAAUUUGGACUUGGAGAGGGCAGAAAUAAGACUACUUUUCUUGUAUUUUUCUGCAAACAGUAGGUGAUACUGCCUCAAAAGACAAUGUUUUUCGUGCACAAGAGGCUCUUUUGCCUUCUCUCAUGUAACAAGUCCACCGUCCAUGUUUCUUCCUAUCAACUCUGCAGUCUGUUUAGCUUUUCCACUGCCGAAGAGCACAGUUCAAAUCAUGGAUCCAACUUUACGUUGGUCGACCCCCUUGAGUCAUGUGAACUUUCCUCAAAAGAGGCUGCAAAAAGGGCCAAGGAUCGCAUCUGUGAAAAAGAACUUUCAAGUUCAAGUCCUUCCAUUGAGUUCUUCAAGCAGAGCGGUUGGAGUGAUCCACUAGUCAUGAAGCUUUUGCAGAGGGAACCCAGGCUUCUACGUGCUAACGUAGAGACUAUCCUGAAGCCCAGGAUGAGAUCUUUGCAGGACAUGGGAUUUUCUGACACUGAAAUAGUUCAGCUGGUUUCAUCAUGUCCGUGUCUGCUCUAUUUACGUGAUAUCCAACCGAGGAUCGACUUCUGGAGGUCACUACUUGGUUCUAAUGAGAGAUUAAUUAAAGCCAGCAGGGGGAACAUGUUUCUCCUUACUUCUAGCGUGGCUCGAAAGGUUGAGCCCAAUAUAUCUCUCUUGAGGGAAUGUGGCAUCAGUGAGCAAUGCAUCACGCAGAUGGUGGUGGCAGUACCGAGUUUUUUUUGUCGAACGAACAAAUGUAUCGACGAAUCUAUCAAACAUGUUGAGGAGUUGGGUGUGUCACGUGACUGUAAAAUGUUCCCUGAUGCACUUUUAAAUGUCAUGACCCUGAGCUGGUCUAGGUUUCAUGCUACUUUUGCUACCCUGAUGAGCUUUGGGUGGUCCCAACCAGACAGUCUUGCUGCAUUCAGGAGGUAUCCAGUCAUUUGGAAUUACUCAAAGAAGAACUUAUGUGACAAGAUGACAUUCCUGAUGAAGGAAGCUGGUUGUGAGCUGACAUAUAUCGUUGGUCAUCCCGUGCUUCUUACAUAUAGCUUGGAGAAGAGGUUGAGACCUCGAUAUGAAGUUAUGAAUUUUCUUUAUCAGAAUAAAUUGCUGGAUAAAGGACAUGACCUGCUAUCUGUCAUCCUGCUCUCUGAAGAGAAGUUCAGAAACAAAUUCCUUUUCCUGCUACGCAACGAGAAAUUUAUUGCUCAAUAUGAUUCCUAUGUUGUUGCUGUGCAGGGAAAGCAUGACGUUAUUGCGGAAAACUAGGAUUGCAAGUGCUUCCUUAAGACAAAGUAUAACCUAUUGCAUGCUGACUGCAAAUUAAACACUUUAUAUUUGUGACAAUUUAAAUUCUGCAAGAGUUUCUUGGAGUAUUAACUUCCAUGUUGAUUUGGUGAUUGUUCUAUUUAUGUUUUCUACAACAAAAGGUACUCGUUCUUUUAUGCUGAUGUCUCAGAAAUUGGUGUGGGGGAAAGUCAAUUACUUAAGAAAGGUAACCAAAAUAUCAAGCUUCUGUGUUCUGUUUCUAUCAUAUUUACCUGAUUCUGGCAGCCAUAUUGAUUACCGUGCUGUCAUUUAGAUGAUUGUGAUCUAAUUUAAUAAAGAUACCUUCCUUUUGAAUGGGGACAUCUCAAAGAAUUAUGUAAGAGCCGCUUGGACGGAAAAUACUUUAAAGGCAACCGCAGAUGUGGAAAUGACUAUAACAUUUUUGUUGUAGUCAUCCACAGUCGCUCAUUAAAUAAUUAAGUCCAGUUUAACUGUUUAAUCGAACGCAUUAAACAGCCGAUCUAUAUUAAGUUUGAUACACAUCUGUAUUGUUAUAUAAUUAGAUUGUGUGUUUUACUUUGCUUGUGCGAUCUAAUAGACCCAACGUGGCUCCCGUGUUUUGUUUUAUUUAACUAUUAACGCCCAUGCAUUUUGGAUCAUUUAUGUUUAUGUUUGAAUUCAUACCCAGAAUGAUUAUUGAAUUUGAGCUUCAUUGGGUGCAUAUCUAUUUUUUUGAUAAUAAUAGUUGAAUUAUAUUAAGAGAACAAUUACGAGGUAGUUAAUAAAAUGAACACAUCUAUGGCAUAUAUCUACAGUAAGUUAUGAAGCUUCUUUUUUUUUUAUUGUAAUGUUGUAUUAUCAUUUUAGUGUCUGAAAUAUAAGAAACAGUAUUAUUAUUUUUUAUAAUAUGUUUAGUUGACAAAAUUUUAAUUUAACUAAAGAUUCUAAGAGGAAAGAUUCAAAAGAUUGGAUAGAGAAGAUUAUUGGAUGGUUGUUGAGCGACUACGGAUUAUAAGCUGAAAAGUUAAGAUUAUUUUCAGAAGUUCCGAAAGAAUUUAAAAGAUAUCUGUUGCUAUUCUUUAUAAGAAUAUAUAAACAUCGACUACUAAGAAUUCAAGAUAAUAGUAUAUGUAAUUUUUGCUUCGAUUAUGUUAUGAAACUUCAUUUUUUUCUUAUAAUGUUGUUUUAUCAUUUUGGUGUCUUCAACAUAAGCAAUAGUAUCAUUAUUUUUUUAGUGAUAUGUUUAGUUACUAAAAUUUUAACUUUAUAAAAAAUUCUAAGAGGAAAGACUCAAAAAAGUGAACAAAAUAUAUUGUUGGAUGGUUGUGGGGGAACUAUUGAUUAUAAAUCAGUAAUGAUGUUAUGAUGUUGAAGAGUGUAAACUUCUUUUUAAAAAUUCUGAAAAGACAUAAAAGAUAUGUAUUUGUAAGAUUUUGGAUUAUAAAAAAAUACAAAUGGAAUUUAUAUUUUUCAGCAAUAGUUUUUGAACCAAACAACUUUGAAUAAUUAUCUUAUUGAAUUGUUUCUCAGCACUUACGUAUUUUUUAUCAUGGGAAGGAUCUAUUAAGUUGCAGCAUCAUCAGGCCUCAACAAAAAUCAUCUAUAUUUCUGUAAGGUCGAUAAAGUCAUCAUAUAAGUAAGAUACUUGAAACUGAUUAUGACAGACUACUUCUAUUGGGAUGCAUAUGUAAAUUAUGACAGACUACUCCAAAAUAGACCCAAAAUCUCAAUGUAUUUAGUUAAGUAUAACUAGUCCUAACUAAAUCACAACUGAUUUAUUGUGACGGGUUUGAAUCACAACUGAAUCAAUGCAUUUAGUUAGGUAUAAAUAUGACCGGUUUGAAUUGAAUCAAACAGGUUCGUUGAUUGCAAAUCAAAUCGUAAUCUACCAGGGGUAAUUUAAUUGAGGUUUCUAGGUUUGAAAAAUUAGAAUCAAUGAUCCCAUAAUUGAUUAUUCCGCUUCCUAUUUAAACCAUCUAUUUGAUGGUGUUCUAUAUAGAUAAAAACCUCGAUCAGAUAGGUUCUCGAUGGAUAAUUGGGCUUAAACAAUUGGGCCCAAUAGUUGGACCAACAAUCGAAUGAAUGUCAAAUUGGUUAUAUUUAGGGAUACUUUAGUUAUUUUAUAAUUAAAAAUAUUAAAAAUUAGAAAAUAAAUUAGUCCUUCCAAUAAGCAAAUAAUAGCUAGUUAUGAAGAUAUUUUAGGAAAAAAAAUUUAAAAAUCCUAUAGAUACCCCAAAAAUCUUUUAUUUUUUUCCAGAUUACUUGUUGAAGGUUGAACGGUUUGAUGCUCUUUUCUUAAUCCGAUGGCAAGUGGAAGCUAUCACUUUACCACCUAAGAGGCUUUUGGAAAUUUGAUAUUGGUAAUUCAAGAAAACCAACGUAUCAAUGUUGAUGUUAAGAUGUUGAUAUGAUGGCUUUUAAAAAUAUAAGAAGAUAUGAUGACCAAACUCAAGUUAGACAUCUUCUAAGUUAUACUUUAAAAAUGUCUGAAACACUGAUGGCUCCUUCCAUAUCAUAUGUAAUUAUUGAGAUCAAAUUUUUAAAUAUAAAGAAGGAAGAGGAUAUAGAAUAUUUUGAAAGAAUAUUACGAAGAAACAUCCAUCACAAGUUAGUACGGUGAAAGUCAAAAGUAAAUUUUCAGAUACCCUACUAAUCUCACUUUUUGUUAUUCUAUUAAAAAAAUUAUGAAACAUUAGCUAUAUUUAUUUUUGUUAAAUAUUUAUUUUUUUAGUUUUGGUGAACAAGUUGGAUUUAUUGAUUAUUAUCAAUAGGCUUUAAAUCAUAUCACAUAAUGAAUUUUCAUAUCACUCUUGCUCGCACUUUAUAUAAUCUUUAUAAAAAUAAUUAUCAUGUUUUUAUUUAUAUUGAUAUUUGGAGUUCAAAUGUACUCAUAAUAUUGUUAUUGGAUUGAUAGUGAUUGGACCAUGCAAAAUAAAUUAUUGCUUUUAGAGAAGUUCAGAAAGAAAUUUCUUUUCCUGCUAGGCGAGGAGAAAUUUAUUCCUCUAUAUGAUUCCUAUGUUGCAGCUAAUUCAGAGACUUAAAUUUGAGCUACGUUGUUGGUUGUAUCUCUAAUUUUUUUUAUAGUAACAGUUUAAUUGGUUGUAUCUCUAUUUUUUUUAUAUAGUAACAGUUUAUUUGUAUUAAGAGAACAAUUAAUAAUAUGCACACAUCUAUAUCUCCUAUUAAGCAAGCUAUUUUAUUCUUGUGAAGUUAAUGAAAAAAAUAAGGCAGAUUUUAUAAUUUAAAUGAUAAAAAGAUUAGAAGAUUUUCUAGCGAUGUUUUUACCUGAUGGAAUUCAAUAUAUAAACUCUUUAAAAAAUAUUUCGAAUAUAAAUAGUUAUUAUAUAUUUUUAUUACAAAUAAUAUUAUGAAAGUUCGCUUAUAUUUGCAACAUUGGAAUGUGUGGGAUAAAAUUUUAAAGAUUUUAAAACUGUUUAAUAAUGUAAUAUAUACUUUUACUGGUGUUUAUUAUCUUACUAUGCAUAUUUUUUUGGUUGUUUGCAUUAAUAUGCUUGGUGAAUUAUAAGAACAUCAAUAUGAUAAUAAUUUAAAUAUGACAAUAGUGAUUAUAAAAUUAAAAAGGAUAAAUUAUUUUUUAAUUCUAUCGAUUUAUUUAAUUACAUAUUUAAUUACAUUUGACUUUAGUAAUUAUUCAAUUAUUUAACCAUUUAUUAUGAAAUUUAGCGGUAAAUGAUAUUGGUCAUAAAAUAAGAGAUAUUAAAAAAUUUAUUGUUAACUUAUAUAACUAUUAUAGUGCUAACUAUAGUAGACAACAUGGUACCUUUCUAACUAUAGUAGACAAAUUAUUUUUAAAUAAAAUAAUAAAAAAAAAUUAUUGGUUCAAACUUGAAUCGAAAUGGAUCAAACCGAAACCAAUUCUUGCCGAUUCGAUUUUUAUUCCAAAUUUUGAAUUGACAAUUUUUGAAAUGGAUGAUUCUGAAAUGGUGACUAAGUCUUAAAUAUAACUUAUAUUUAAAUCAUCAAAUUUUAUAUUUGCUGGUUUAGUUUGUGAAUUGAAGGACAAUGUAUUUGUAACAGUAGAAAGAGAUUUGAAUGCUUUAAAUUUGACUAUAUAUAUGUUUUCUUACACAGAGCAUAAAGAGUUCGGAUAUUUUAUGGCUAUUGUUAUUAGUGUGAUUGUUUGCACUUAUUGGAUUUAUUGGCAAAUUCUUACUGAUUUAGAUUAUGCCAGUGAAGAUUCUCACUGAUUUAGAUUAUGGCUUUAUUGAGAGAAAGUUCUUUACUACAGCUGAAGCCACUGAAGUCAAUGAGAGCCCGAUGAGUGGGCCGGGCGAGAGAGUUCAACCGGGUGCAGCCCAGGAGCCCGCCUGAUUCAGGUUGUGUCGAACCCCCGAGUCAAAUCAAUUUGAGGCAAUGGUUCGAUUGAACCAGAUGAGAACGGCGUCCUCAAAAUUCGCACCCGUGCCCUAAAUGCAGCGGUGAAACUGUCUCCUUAUUCACAGCCACUGCAACUGCGGCGUGUACCUUGGCGAUAGCCGGCGGCGGCGGCGGCGGCGGCAUCUUCCUCCGUCGAGCUCUUAUCGCUGCGGCGUUUUCCUCGGCGAACGGUGGAUGCUGAGGCUUCCUCUCCGUCAGCGAACGGUACAGCGCCCGGUAUCUCUCUCUUACUCCUCCUCCUCCUCCUUCGCCGUCACACAAUCCCUUCUCCUCCCUCUUCCCCCCUUUCGUCGCAGCUCUCCCGAUUCCCCGACACCAUCCUCCUCCUCCCUUCUCCCCCCUCCUCCCUCUUUCACCCGUUCAUCGCAGCCCCCCGCCCCUCUUCCCCGAUCCCUCCCCCUCCUCCACUUCAUCACAGUCCCCGNNNNNNNNNNNNNNNNNNNNNNNNNNNNNNNNNNNNNNNNNNNNNNNNNNNNNNNNNNNNNNNNNNNNNNNNNNNNNNNNNNNNNNNNNNNNNNNNNNNNNNNNNNNNNNNNNNNNNNNNNNNNNNNNNNNNNNNNNNNNNNNNNNNNNNNNNNNNNNNNNNNNNNNNNNNNNNNNNNNNNNNNNNNNNNNNNNNNNNNNNNNNNNNNNNNNNNNNNNNNNNNNNNNNNNNNNNNNNNNNNNNNNNNNNNNNNNNNNNNNNNNNNNNNNNNNNNNNNNNNNNNNNNNNNNNNNNNNNNNNNNNNNNNNNNNNNNNNNNNNNNNNNNNNNNNNNNNNNNNNNNNNNNNNNNNNNNNNNNNNNNNNNNNNNNNNNNNNNNNNNNNNNNNNNNNNNNNNNNNNNNNNNNNNNNNNNNNNNNNNNNNNNNNNNNNNNNNNNNNNNNNNNNNNNNNNNNNNNNNNNNNNNNNNNNNNNNNNNNNNNNNNNNNNNNNNNNNNNNNNNNNNNNNNNNNNNNNNNNNNNNNNNNNNNNNNNNNNNNNNNNNNNNNNNNNNNNNNNNNNNNNNNNNNNNNNNNNNNNNNNNNNNNNNNNNNNNNNNNNNNNNNNNNNNNNNNNNNNNNNNNNNNNNNNNNNNNNNNNNNNNNNNNNNNNNNNNNNNNNNNNNNNNNNNNNNNNNNNNNNNNNNNNNNNNNNNNNNNNNNNNNNNNNNNNNNNNNNNNNNNNNNNNNNNNNNNNNNNNNNNNNNNNNNNNNNNNNNNNNNNNNNNNNNNNNNNNNNNNNNNNNNNNNNNNNNNNNNNNNNNNNNNNNNNNNNNNNNNNNNNNNNNNNNNNNNNNNNNNNNNNNNNNNNNNNNNNNNNNNNNNNNNNNNNNNNNNNNNNNNNNNNNNNNNNNNNNNNNNNNNNNNNNNNNNNNNNNNNNNNNNNNNNNNNNNNNNNNNNNNNNNNNNNNNNNNNNNNNNNNNNNNNNNNNNNNNNNNNNNNNNNNNNNNNNNNNNNNNNNNNNNNNNNNNNNNNNNNNNNNNNNNNNNNNNNNNNNNNNNNNNNNNNNNNNNNNNNNNNNNNNNNNNNNNNNNNNNNNNNNNNNNNNNNNNNNNNNNNNNNNNNNNNNNNNNNNNNNNNNNNNNNNNNNNNNNNNNNNNNNNNNNNNNNNNNNNNNNNNNNNNNNNNNNNNNNNNNCUCUCUUACUCCUCCUCCUCCUCCUUCGCCGUCACACAAUCCCUUCUCCUCCCUCUUCCCCCUUUCGUCGCAGCUCUCCCGAUUCCCCGACACCAUCCUCCUCCUCCCUUCUCCCCCCUCCUCCCUCUUUCACCCGUUCAUCGCAGCCCCCGCCCCUCUUCCCCGAUCCCUCCCCCUCCUCCACUUCAUCACAGUCCCCGCCCCCCGUUUUCCUACUCCGAUACCAACGGUCCCGUCUCAGUUUUCCUACUCCGGACCCGACAGCCCCCUCUCCAUUAUCUUGCUCCGGACCCGACAGCCCCCGUCUCCCUCCUCUACACCCCUCUUCGCCCUCUCUAUACAUCUUCCCGUCCCCUUUCCUUCUCCCUGAUAGUUACCCGCUACCCUCCCAACAAGUAGUCAGCAGCAUGUCUUGAGCAUUUACUUUAAAGAAAUAGCAAGUCACAGUAUGCAAGUUAAAUACUGUUGUUGAGAUAGAAAGCAGGAGAAGUGCUGCUUUUAUAAAGAGCAAAGGGAAUUGGGGAGUCUUUGAGAAAAAUAAAAAAACACGGAAAAGAUAGAACAAGAGAUAGCAGAGACAAUAAUUGGGUCACUGUCCAAUGAAAAUCAUAAUUAUUUGUCAAUAGAAUCAUGCACAAGUCUGACUAUUCCCCAUGUGAAGCAUUUUAAUUAAAAAUAUACCUAAGAUAAUACUAAUCUGACUAGGUUUCCCAAAAGAAGCUCUCUCAACAGAAACUGCUUAUUUUGAUGAAGCGUUUGGUUCAUCAAACCUCUUAGUUUUCUUAUUAUGUUUACUGCAUUGCAGUUUCCUUUUCAAGCACAUCAGAAAAUUUCCACACAAAACCCCAAAUGAUACAAAGGAAUCGACUCAAUAUAAAGGACAAGUUGAGUCAACAACUAGAAUUUGACUUGAUUUCCAAACCCGAAAAUAGACCCAAAAUCUCAAUGUAUUUGGUUAGGUAUAACCUUACACCUUUACGUCAGCAUAGUGUGUUCUCUGCUGUAGUGCUGAAAGCAACUAUCUUUGCUCCUUGAGGCUAGUUCGUACCUCAAAACACACAGGCCUGCUUAUAUUUGGAUUAUCAAAUCUUGUAUUUGCUGGUUUAGUUGGUGAUUUGAAGGAGAUUUUGCAGGUGACAAUAGCAAGAGAUAUUAAUGCUCAUAAUUUAACUACAGAUAUUUUCUUAUACAGAGUUCAAUGAUGCAAAACAUCCAUAUGGAUGAUCAUGAAUUGUUUGAACAUCAUGGCUUUUGUUAUUAUUUUGGUCGUUUGCACAUGCUGGUUUUAUUGUCUAAUUCUCACUGAUAUAGGCUUUUUUUUUCUUCAUUAAUGAUAUGUAGCUGUGGCAACAUAUAAUUUAUUUUACUGUAGUUGAAGUUAUUUACAUGAUCAGUCUUUCUCAUAAAUUAAGUUCCUUUAUCAGCAAAGAACCAAAUAAACUAGUAGCAUUUCUUGAUUGAGGCAGUUUUCUUAUCUCUUUAUUCAUUUUUCAGAAUAUUUAUUGCCUUUCUCUGGUCUUCCAGAUAUGUUGUUUUUUUUUUGUCAAGUUGCUCAUCAUCAUCAACAAUGCCCUUUUUAGCAUGUUGAACCUUACAAAUUACUGUUGUUAAUUAAUUAAACAGUGUCUUUUCUACUUACGAGUCUUGCUAGACUUUUAACUAGAUCAUCUCUUUACAUUCUUGAUGAAAUGGAUCAAUUACUCUGGAAGUGCUCAUUUGAAAUGUUUCAGAUUUUAGUUGUAGGACAUUAGUGAAUUUGAUGUUAGAGAAAACAUUAUGCAUCUUCCAGUUAUUCUGAAUUCUGUAGUACCAUUUGCAAGUCAUUGAUGUUCAACCUAUAAGUAUAAACAUGAGUAUCGUCUGUAUACGAUCAACAUUGUAAAUGCCUAUGCCACUCUUAUGCAACAUAUUUGAUGAAUUUGAUAUAGUUUUUAAUUUGCUACAGGGAUAUAGGAUGCUUGGUAGUGUCUAAACCCACCAACUACAAUAUAAAAAUAAGUGGAAGAUAGUGUCUGUGCUCUGGUGUUAUAUGAUGCCAGUAUUUCAGUGGUGGAGAAUUGCUCGGAUGUGAGCAUUAGAAUGAGUAACGAAUUAUAGGUACUCGUUAUCAACUCUCAAACACCAUUUAGAGACUUAUCUCUGGAAGAAAUGGCUGAUUGGAGCUGAAUGCAUGUGGAUUAACACGAGUGGUAUAGGAAUGUUGUCUGAGACAGAUGAUUAGUAGAAAGUUUUCAACGUCCUUGAUUUGAGUUAGAAGAGGAAUUUGGACUUGGAGAGGGCAGAAUUAAGACUACUUUUCUUGUAUUUUUCUGCAAACAGUACAUGAUACUGCCUCAAAAGACAAUGUUUUUGGUGCAGAAGAGGCUCUUUUGCCUUCUCUCGUGUAACAAGUCCACCGUCCAUGUUUCCUCCUAUCAACUCUGCAGUCUGUUUAGCUUUACCACUGCCGAAGAGCACAGUUUAAAUCAUGGAUCCAACUUUACGUUGGUCGACCCCCUUGAGUCAUGUGAACUUUCCUCAAAAGAGGCUGCAAAAAGGGCCAAGGAUCGCAUCUGUGACAAAGAACUUUCAAGUUCAAGUCCUUCCAUUGAGUUCUUCAAGCAGAGCGGUUGGAGUGAUCCACUAGUCAUGAAGCUUUUGCAGAGGGAACCCAGGCUUCUACGUGCUAACGUAGAGACUAUCCUGAAGCCCAGGAUGAGAUCUUUGCAGGACAUGGGAUUUUCUGACACCGAAAUAGUUCAGCUGGUUUCAUCAUGUCCGUGUCUGCUCUAUUUACGUGAUAUCCAACCAAGGAUCAACUUCUGGAGGUCACUUCUUGGUUCUAAUGAGAGGUUAAUUAAAGCCAGCAGGGGGAACAUGUUUCUCCUUACUUCUAGCGUGGCUCAAAAGAUUGAGCCCAAUAUAUCUCUCUUGAGGGAACGUGGCAUCAGUGAGCAAUGCAUCACGCAGAUGUUGGUGGCAGUACCGAGUUUUUUUUGUCGAAUGAACAAAUAUAUCGACGAAUCUAUCAAACGUGUUGAAGAGUUGGGAGUGUCACGUGACUCUAAAAUGUUCCCUCAUGCACUUUUAACAGUCAUGACCUUGAGCAGGUCCAGGUUUGAUGCUACCUUUGCAACCUUGAUGAGCUUUGGGUGGUCCCAACCAGACAGCCUUGCUACAUUCAGGAGGUAUCCAUUCAUUUGGAAUUACUCAAAGAAGAACUUAUCUGACAAGAUGACAUUCCUGAUGAAGGAAGCUGGUUGUGAGCUGACAUAUAUCAUUGGCCAUCCCACGCUUCUUACAUUUAGCUUGGAGAAGAGGUUGAGACCUCGAUGUGAAGUUAUGAAUUUUCUUGAUCAUAAUAAAUUGCUGGAUAAAGGACAUGACCUGCUAUCUGUCAUGCUGCUAAGCGAAGAGAAGUUCAGAAACAAAUUCCUUUUCCUGCUACGCAAGGAGAAAUUUAUUGCUCAAUAUGAUUCCUAUGUUGUUGCUGUGCACGGAAAGCAUGACGUUAUUGCCGAAAACUAGGAUUGCAAGUGCUUCCUUAAGACAAAGUGUCGACCUAUUGCAUGCUGACUGCAAAUUAAUCAUUUUACAUUUGUGACAAUUUAAAAUUCUCCUUGAGUUUCUUGGAGUAUAACUUCCCUGUUGAUUUGGUGAUUGUUCUUCUAUUUAUGUUUUCUACAACAAAAGGUACUCAUUCUUUUAUGCUGAUGUCUCAGAAAUUGGUAUGGGGGAAAGUCAAUUACUUAAGAAAGAUAACCAAAAUAUCAAGCUUUUGUGUUCUGUUUCUAUCAUAUUUACCUGAUUCCGCCAGCCAUAUUGAUAACUGUGCUGUCAUUUAGAUGAUUGUGAUCUAAUUUAAUAAGGAUACCUUCCUUUUGAAUGGGGACAUCUCAAAGAAUUAUGUAAGAGCCGCUUGGACAGAAAAUACUUCAAAGGCAACCACAGAUGUGGAUAUGACUAACAUUUUUGUUGUAGUCAUAUACACACUCGCUCAUUAAAUAAUUAAGUCCAGUUUAACCGUUUAAUUGAACGCAUUAAACAAACGAUCUAUAUUAAGUUUGAUACACAUCUGUAUUGUUAUAUAAUUAGAUUAUGUGUUUUACUUUGCUUGUGCGAUCUAAUAGACCCAACAUGGCUCCCGUUUAAUUGUGUGUUUCAUUUUUUUCUUAUAAUGUUGUAUUAUCAUUUUGGUGUCUUCAACAUAAGGAAUAGUAUCAUUAUUUUUUUAGUGAUAUGUUUAGUUACUAAAAUUUUAACUUAAUAAAUAAUUCUAAGAGGAAAGACUUAGAAAAGUGAACAAAAUAUAUUGUUGGAUGGUUGUUGGGGAACUAUUGAUUAUAAAUCAGUAAUGAUGUUAUGAUGUUAAAGAGUGUAAAAUUAUUUUUAAAAAUUCUGAAAAGACAUAAAAGAUAUGUAUUUGUAAGAUUUUGGAUAAUAAAAAAAUACAAAUGGAGUUUACAUUUUUCAGCAAUAGUUUUUGAACCAAACAAGUUUCAAAAAAUUUACUGCUUAUGUCCUCAUUUAUUUUUCAAUAUAUUCCCUAUUAUGCAUUAAUAGACCUAGUUGAAUAGAUGAUAAUGCUAUAAAUCAGAUACUCCUCAUGAUUGAAAAAUUAGAAAAUAUCAAGAUUUUUGUAUUUAAGUUAUUCGGACUCAUUAAAACUCUACGACAACAUGUUUUUUUUAGUUAAUAAUUUAUUGAUAAGUCCCUUCCACAAGUCACUGACAAUCACUUCCUCAUAUGUUUAUUUCAUAAUAUAAUUAUUUAUUUUAAUUUUUUUAAAAAAUAAAUGGCUAACAUAAGAUUUCAUCACGUGAGGAUAUUGAGUUCAUUAAAAAAGGUCUUCUUCUUCGUGGCCCCUUUAGCAAGAAACUUUCAAUUAGGAAGAUCCGUGAAAACAACAAACAAUAACCUUUAGUACUUUGAAUAAGUAUCUUAUUAAAUUAUUUCUCGAGCACUCUACAUUUACAUGUUUGAUCGGACCAAUUAAGUUGCAAUAUUAUCGACUACUUCUGUCUUUUUUUUUUUUCGUUAGGCCUUGAUAAAAAUCAUAUAUAUUUCUGUAAAGUCGAUAAAGUUAUCAUCUAAGUAAGAUACUUGAAACUAGUUAUGACAUACUACUAUUGGGAUGCAUCCGUAAAUUAUAACAGACUUCUCCAAAAUAGACCCAAAAUCUCAAUGUAUUUAGUUAAGUAUAACUAGUCCUAACUAAAUCACAACUGGUUUGUUGUGAUGGGUUUGAAUCACAACUAAAUCAAUGCAUUUAGUUAGGUAUAAAUAUGACUGGUUUGAAUUGAAUCAAACCAGAAUCGAUGGUUCGUUGAUUGCAAAUCAAAUCGUAAUCUACUAGGGGUUGUUUAAUUGAGGUUUCAAGGUUUGAAAAAUUAGAAUCAACGAUACCAUAAUUGAUUAUUCCGCUUCCUAUUUAAACCAUCGAUUUGAUGGUGUUUUAUAUAGAUAAAAACCUUGAUCAAAUAGGUUGUAGAUAGAUAAUUUGGCUUAAACGAUUGGGCCCAAUAGUAUGUGCAUGGACUAUAUUUAGGGGUACUUUAGUUAUUUUAUAAUUAAAAAUAUUAAAAAUUAGAAAACAAAUUAGUCCUUCCAAUAAGCAAAUAAUAGCUAGUUAUGAAGAUAUUUUAAGAAAAAAUUAAAACCCUAUAGAUACCCCAAAAAUCUUUUAUUGUUUCUCGCAUCAUCGAUUAAGUACUUGUUGAAGUUUGAACGCUUUGAUGCUUUUUUCUUAAUCUGAUGGCAAGUGGAAGCUAUCACUUCACCACAGAGGAGGCUUUUGAAAAUCUGAUCUUGAUAAUUCAAGAAAGCCAACAUAUCAAUGUUGAUGUUAAGAUGUUGAUAGAUGACUUUUAAAAAUAUAGAAGAAAGAAGAUAUGAUGACCAAACUCAAGUUAGACAUCUUCAAGUUAUACUUUAAAAACAUCUGAAACACUGAUAGCUCCUUCCAUAUUGUAAUUAUUGAGACUAAAUUUUUAAAUACAAAGAGGGAAGAAGAUAUAGAAUAUUUUGAAAGUAUAUCAAGAAGAAACAUCCAUUACAAGUUGGUACGAUUAUACCAGUGAAGAUUCUCAAUAAAAAGUUAAUUUUUCUUCAUUAAUGAUUGGUUGCAUAAAGUUCUUUACUAUACUAUAGCAGAAGCGAUUGACGACACCGGGCGCCCGAUAAGUGGGCCGGGCGGAUGAGUUCGACCGGGUGCGGCCCAGGCGCCGCAUGAUUUGGCUGUGUCGAGCCUUAGUCAAGUCUAUUUGGAACUAAGGUUCGAUUGAACCAGAUGAGAACGGCAUCCUCAAAGUCGCACCCGUGCCCUAAAUGCCGCGGUGAAACUGUCUCCUCCUCUACAGCGACCACGACUGCGGCGUUUUCCACGGAGAACGGUGCAUGCUGCGGCUUCCUCUCCGUCGGCGAACGGUGACAGCGCCCGGUAUCUCUCUCUUACUCCUCCUCUUCCUCCUUCGCCGUUAGUUAUAUGUGCUUUCCCUGCACAUCAUCAACAGUGGCUUCUUUAGCAUGUUGAACCUCACAAAUUACUGUUGUUAAUUUCUUAAACAGUGUGUUUUCUAAUUACCAGUCUUGUUAGACCUAUAACAAAAUCAUCUCUUUACAUUCUUGUUGAAAAGGAUCAAUUAUUCUGGAAGUGCUCAUUUGAACUGUUACAGGUUUUAGUUGUAGGACAUUAGUGAAUCUGAUGUUAGACAAAACAUUAUGCAUCUUCCACCUAAUCUUAGUGCUGAAGUACCCAUUGCAAGUCAUCGACUGAUGUUCAACCUAUUAGUACAAAGUUGAAAAUCAUCUGUAUACAAUCAACAUAGUAAAUGCCAUUGUCACUCUUAUGCUGCAUAUUUGAUGAAAAUACAUUUGAUAUAAUUUUUCAAUAUCUGCAUGGAUAUAGUGUGCUUCACAGUUUCUAAAGCUACUACCUACAAUAGAUAAAUAGCGGAAGGUAGUGUCAGUGUGCAUGUGUCAUAUCAAGACAUUAUUUCAGUGGUGGUUAAUACCUUGGAUGUGAGCAUGGUAAUAAGUAAAUGAUCAAUGGUACCCGUAAUCAACAUUCAAACACCAUUUAGAGGCUUACAUCUGAAAGAAAUGGUUAAUGGGAACUGAAUGCAGGUGGAUUUACGUGAGUGGUAGGGGAAUGUUAUCCGAUACAGAUGAUUAGUUGGAAGCUUUCAACUUCCUUUUGGUUGGAAGCAGACACAGAAAAUAUAUUUAGUUCAGCAAUAAAACUACUUGUGUUUUUCUGCAAAUAGUGUGUGAUACUGCUUCAAAAUAUAAUGUUUUUGGUGCAAAAGAGGCUCUUUUGCAUUCUCCCAUUUAACAAGUCCACCAUCCAUGUUUCUUCCUAUGAACUCUUCAGUCUGCUUAGCUUUUCCACCGCCAAAGACCAAAUUUCAGAUCAUAAAUCCUACUUUACAGUGGCCAACCCCCUUCAAUCAUGUGAACUUUCCUCGGAAACGGCUGCAAAAACAGCCAAGUUCCUCACCUGUCACACAAAAUCUUCAAGUUCAAGUCUUUCCAUUGAGUUCUUUAAGCAGAGCGGUUGGAGUGAUGCACGAGUCUUGAAGCUUACCCAGAGGGAACCCAGGUUCCUAUGUGCUGACAUAGAGACUGCCAUGAAGCCCAAGUUGAGAUCUUUGUAGGACAUGGGAUUUUCUGACACUGAAAUAGUUCAGCUGGUUUCAUCAUGUCCGACUAUGCUCCUUCUACAUGACAUCAAACAGAGGAUCAACUUCUGGAGGUCACUUCUUGGUUCUAAUGAGAGGUUAAUUAAAGCCAGCCGGAGGAACAUGUUUCUCUUUACUUCUAGCUUGGCUCGAAAGAUUGAGCCCAAUGUAUCUCUCUCGAGGGAAUGUGGCAUCAGUGAGCAACGCAUUGCGCAGAUGGUGGUGAGACUACCAAAUUUUUUAUGUCAAACAGAAAAAAUGUAUCAAGGAAGUUAUCAAAUAUGUUGAGGAGUUGGGUGUGUCACGUGGCUGUAAAAUGUUCCCUCGUGUACUAUUAGCAGUCAUGACCCUGAGCAGGUCCAGGUUUGACGCUACCUUUGCAACCCUGAUUAAUUAUGGGUGGUCCCAACCAGAUUGCGUUGCUGCAUUCAGGAAGUAUCCAUCCAUUUAGUGUUUGCCAAAGAAGACCUUAUGUGACUAGAUGACAUUCCAGAUGAAGGAAGCUGGUUGUGAGUUGACAUAUAUCAUUUGCCGUCCUAUAACGAUUUUAGCUAGAAUUGCCUAAGACAUAAGGUACCUUUGCGUCAAAGACACGAACUUAGCUUGCGUUGUCUAUGUCGCGCUUCGUCCUUACGAUUUACGUUCGCAAAGAUUAGCCCACUUGCAACCUCUCGCAGGUCUCGAAACAUCUGUAAAAGAGAAAGUUGAUUAGUUUAAAGAACGAGCGACGGACAAGUCCCGACGUCUCGCGAAAAAGAGAAGCUUUACAAGUAAUUCAGCGAGCAACUUGUAUGCACAAGAGAAAAGAGGGAGAGGGGGAAAACAAGGAUUUUAGAAGGUUGAACGAACAGUUGUAAGUCCGCAAACAGUUGCUCACCCGACACUAUACCGAGGUCUCAUUCAGCCUUGUGCCACCCAGGUGGUUCUAGGGUGCUGAGAUGGCUAACGUUUCACGUGCAGCAGCGGGCUGCAGAAAUCAGCCUGUGGCAUGGGAAAACAGAGCCUUUUUGGGGUCGUUUUGCUUGGUUCGGCGAGUGGUCACACCGUAGCGUUAUAACUUAUUCGAACUUACAUUUUUACAAACAAAAAGACUUAAAACUAAGCCAAAACAUGUUGCCAAGCAAUUAUACAUGUAGACGAGAACGACGAAUGAUUCGGUGAACGGAGUUGUUCAAGGUGCGCAACGACCAUUCAUAACAUUCUCCCCCACUCAAAUUGUCGAUGCCCUCGUCGACGCUUGUUGAUAGUUGUUGAUGAUUGCUUCUUCAUGUCAUAGGGUGUCUUCAGGCUCCCAACUAGCUUCAGAUCGGGGAAGCUUUCGCCACUUCACCAAGUACACGGUCUGCUCAGCUCUAGUGGGUAGCUUUAUCUUGCGAUCUGCUAGAAUGGUUUCAACUCGCUUUUCGUAGGAGGCUGUGGUGGGGGGUAGCCAAGUUGGAACACUUCGGGAAGCAUCUUGCGGAUCCGAGUGGUAGGCUUUCAAGUUGCUGGCGUGAAGAAUAUUGUGAAUGUUGAACCACGUCGGCAGCUGCAACUUGUAGGAGACAUUAUCCACCCUACUGAUAAUUGGGAAGGGCCCUUCAUACUUGCGCACCAAUCCUUUAUGUAUUUUGUUUCUAAAGAAUUAGAGUGAUGCUGGUUGGAGCUUGACCAACACCAAAUCGUCGAUCUUGAACUCUUACGGUCGCCUACCAAAGUUUGCCCACUUCAUUCUUUUUGCUGUCUUCUCCAAGUAAGUCCACACAAUAUCUACAUUUCGGUGUCACUCCCUUGCAAAGUGGUAGGCUGAUGGAUUACUCCCAGUAUAUCCAAUUACUUUAGUGUGAGGAGUUGACGGUUGUUACCCUGUAAUAAUCUCGAAAGGGCUCUUGUUGGAUGCAGAGCUUCGCUUCAAGUUAUAGGAGAAUUGGGCAAUGUCCAAUAACUUCAUCCAAUCUUGUUGGUUGGCACUCACGUAGUGCCGAAGAAUAUUGCUGUAGGAGAUGAAAGCCACUGUCUCGACAAUCUUAGACUUGUUCUUCGAAUCAAAAUACAAUGCGUUGCCAAUAUUUAGAUGAUCAAAUCUUAUAUUUGCUGGUUUAGUUUGAAGGAGAAUAUAAUACUGGUAACAAUAGAAAGAGAUUUUAAUGCUUUGACUAAAUAUGUUUUCUUACGCAAGCAUAAAUAGUUCGGAUAUUAUGGCUUUUUAUAUUAUUGUUAUUGGUUGCACUUGUUGGAUUUAUUGGCAAAUUCUCACUGAUUUAGAUUAAUAGCUGAAGCAAUUGAAGUCACCGAGCGCCCGAUAAGUGGGCCGGGGGUGCGAGUUCAACCGGGUGCGGCCCAGGCGCCCGUCUGAUUAAGGCUGGGUCUAGCCCAAGUCAAGUCAAUUUGGAUCUCUGGUUCGAUUGAACCAGAUGAGAACGGCAUCCACAAAUUCGCACCCGUGCCCUAAAUGCAGCGGUGAAACUGUCUCCUUCUCCACAGCGACCGCGACUGCGGCGUUUUCCUUGGCGAAAGGCGGCAGCUGCGGUGGCAUCUUCCUACGUCGAGCUCUUAUCGCUGCGGCGUUUUCCUCGGCAAACGGUGGAUGCUGCGGUUUCCUCUCCGUCGGCGAACGGUGAUAGCGCCCGGUAUCUCUCUCUUACACAUCCUCCUCCUCCUCUUCCUCCUUCUCCGUCGCAAAAUCCCUUCCCCUCUCUCUUUCCCCGUUCAUCGCAGCCCACCGCCGCCCCGGCCUCAUCGCUGCCCCCUUUCCCCAAUCCCUCCUUCCUCUUCCCCUUUCGCCACAGCUCUCCCUCUUCCCCGACACCGUCCCACGACUCCAUAUGUAGCUGACGCUACAUAUAAUUUUUUUAGUGUAGUUUAAGUUAUUUACAUGAGGAAUCUUUCUCAUAAAUUAAGUUCCUUUAUCAGCAUAGAACCAAAUAAACUAGUAGCAUUUCUUGAUUGAGGCAGUUUUCUUAUCCCUUUAUUCAUUUUUCAGAAAAUUUAUUGCCUUUCUCUGGCCUUCCAGCUAUGUUGUUUUUUUUUGGUCAAGUUGCUCAUCAUCAUCAACAAUGCCCUUUUUAGCAUGUUGAACCUCACAAAUUACCCUUGUUAAUUAAUUAAACAGUGUCUUUUCUGCUUACCAGUCUUGCUAGACUUUUAACUAGAUCAUCUCUUUACAUUCUUAAUGAAAUGGAUCAAUUACUCCCCAAUGUUUCAGAUUUUAGUUGUAGGACAUUAGUGAAAUCGAUGUUAGAAAAAACAUUAUGCAUCUUCCAGUUAUUCUGAAUUCUGUAGUACCAUUUGCAAGUCAUUGAUGUUCAACCUAUAAGUAUAAACAUGAGUAUCGUCUGUAUACGAUCGACAUUGUAAAUGCCUAUGCCACUCUUAUGCAGCAUAUUUGAUGAAGACACAUUUGAUAUGGUUUUUAAAUUGCUACAGGGAUAUCUGAUGCUUGGUAGUGUCUAAACCCACCAACUACAAUAUAAAAAUAAGUGGAAGAUAGUGUCUGUGCGCUGGUGUUAUAUGAUGCCAUUAUUUCAGUGGUGGAGAAUUGCCCGGUUGUGAGCAUUAGAAUGAGUAACUAAUUAUAGGUACUUGUUAUCAACUCUCAAACACCAUUUAGAGACUUAUCUCUGGCAGAAAUGGCUGAUUGGAACUGAAUGCAUGUGGAUUAACACGAGUGGUAUAGGAAUGUUGUCUGAGACAGAUGAUUAGUAGAAAGUUUUCAACAUCCUUGAUUUGAGGUAGAAGAGGAAUUUGGACUUGGAGAGGGCAGAUUAAGACUACUUUUCUUGUAUUUUUCUGCAAACAGUACGUGAUACUGCCUCGAAAGACAAUGUUUUUGGUGCAGAAAAGGCUCUUUUGCCUUCUCUCAUGUAACAAGUCCACCAUCCAUGUUUCCUCCUAUCAACUCUGCAGUCUGUUUAGAUUUUCCACUGCCGAAGAGCACAGUUCAAAUCAUGGAUCAAACUUUACGUUGGUCGACCCCCUUGAGUCAUGUGAACUUUCCUCAAAAGAGGCUGCAAAAAGGGCCAAGGAUCGCAUCUGUGAAAAAGAACUUACAAGUUCAAGUCCUUCCAUUGAGUUCUUCAAGCAGAGCGGUUGGAGUGAUGCACUAGUCAUGAAGCUUUUGCAGAGGGAACCCAGGUUGUUGCUCGCUAAUGUAGAGACUGCCCUGAAGCCCAGGAUGAGAUCCUUGCAGGACAUGGGAUUUUCUGACACUGAAAUAAUUCAGCUGGUUUCAUCAUGUCCUACUCUGCUCCGUUUAAGUGAUAUCCAACCAAGGAUCAACUUCUGGAGGUCACUUCUUGGUUCUAAUGAGAGGUUAAUUAAAGCCAGCAGGAGGAACAUAUUUCUCCUUACUUCUAGCUUGGCUCAAAAGAUUGAGCCCAAUAUAUCUCUCUUGAGGGAAUGUGGCAUCAGUGAGCAAUGCAUCACGCAGAUGCUGGUGGUAGUACCGAGUUUUUUUUGUCGAAAGAACAAUUGUGUCAAUGAAUCUAUCAAACGUGUUGAGGAGUUUGGUGUGUCACGUGACAGUAAAAUGUUCCCUCAGGUACUUUUAACAGUCAUGACCCUCAGCUGGUCCAGGUUUCAUGCUACUUUUGAAACCCUGAUGAGCUUUGGGUGGUCCCAACCAGACAGCAUUGCUGCAUUCAGUAGGUAUCCAGUCAUUUGGAAUUACUCAAAGAAGAACUUAUCUGACAAGAUGACAUUCCUGAUGAAGGAAGCUGGUUGUGAGCUGACAUAUAUCGUUGGUCAUCCCAUGCUUCUUACAUAUAGCUUGGAGAAGAGGUUGAGACCUCGAUAUGAAGUUAUGAAUUUUCUUGAUCAGAAUAAAUUGCUGGAUAAAGGACAUGACCUGCUAUCUGUCAUCCUGCUAUCUGAAGAGAAGUUCAGAAACAAAUUCCUUUUCCUGCUACGCAAGGAGAAAUUUAUUGCUCAAUAUGAUUCCUAUGUUGUUGCUGUGCGGGGAAAGCACUACGUUGUUGUGGAAAACUAGGAUUGCAAGUGCUUCCUUAAGACAAAGUGUCGACCUAUUGCAUGCUGACUGCAAAUUAAUCAUUUUACAUUUGUGACAAUUUAAAAUUCUCCUUGAGUUUCUUGGAGUAUAACUUCCCUGUUGAUUUGGUGAUUGUUCUUCUAUUUAUGUUUUCUACAACAAAUGGUACUCAUUCUUUUAUGCUGAUGUCUCAGAAAUUGGUGUGGGGGAAAGUCAAUUACUUAAGAAAGGUAACCAAAAUAUCAAGCUUUUGUUUUCUGUUUCUAUCAUAUUUACCUGAUUCUGGCAGCCAUAUUGAUUACUGUGCUGUCAUUUAGAUGAUUGUGAUCUAAUUUAAUAAGGAUACCUUCCUUUUGAAUGGGGACAUCUCAAAGAAUUAUGUAAGAGCCGCUUGGACGGAAAAUACUUCAAAGGCAACCACAGAUGUGGAUAUGACUAACAUUUUUGUUGUAGUCAUAUACACACUCGCUCAUUAAAUAAUUAAGUCCAGUUUAACCGUUUAAUUGAACGCAUUAAACAACCUAUCUAUAUUAAGUUUGAUACACAUCUGUAUUGUUAUAUAAUUAGAUUGUGUGUUUUACUUUGCUUGUGCGAUCUAAUAGACCCAACAUUGCUCCCGUUUAAUUGUGUGUUUCAUUUUUUUCUUAUAAUGUUGUAUUAUCAUUUUGGUGUCUUCAACAUAAGGAAUAGUAUCAUUAUUUUUUUAGUGAUAUGUUUAGUUACUAAAACUUUAACUUAAUAAAAAUUUCUAAGAGGAAAGACUCAGAAAAGUGAACAAAAUAUAUUGUUGGAUGGUUGUGGGGGAACUAUUGAUUAUAAAUCAGUAAUGAUGUUAUGAUGUUGAAGAGUGUAAACUUCUUUUUAAAAAUUAUGAAAAGACAUAAAAGAUAUGCAUUUGUAAGAUUUUGGAUAAUAAAAAAAUACAAAUGAAGUUUACAUUUUUCAGCAAUAGUUUUUGAACCAAACAAUAACCUUUAGUACUUUGAAUAAUUAUCUUAUUGAAUUGUUUCUCAAACACUAUGUACUUCUAUGUUUUUUAUCAUGGGAAUGACCUAUUAAGUUGUAACAUCAUUAACUAUUUUUGUUUUUUUUCUUUUUCAUUAGGUCUCAAUAAAAUUCAUCUAUAUUUUUAUAAGGUCGAUAAAAUCAUCAUCUAAGUAAGAUACUUGAAACGGAUUAUAUAAACUACUCCUGUUGGGAUGCAUAUGUAAGUUAUGACAUACUACUCCAAAAUAGACCCAAAAUCUCAAUGCAUUUAGUUAACUAUAACUAGUCCUAACUAAAUCACAACUGAUUUGUUCUGACGGGUUUGAAUCACAACUGAAUCAAUGCAUUUAGUUAGGUAUAAAUAUGACUGGUUUGAAUUGAAUCAAACAGGUUCGUUGAUUGCAAAUCAAAUCGUAAUCUACCAGGGGUAAUUUAAUUGAGGUUCCUAGGUUUGAAAAAUUAAAAUCAAUGAUCCCAUAAUUGAUUAUUCCGCUUCCUAUUUAAACCAUCGAUUUGAUGGUGUUUUAUAUAGAUAAAAAACCCCAAUCAAAUAGGUUAUAGAUGGAUAAUUGGGCUUAAACAAUUGGGCCCAAUAGUAUGUGCUUGGACCAACAAUCGAAUGAAUGUCAAAUUGGCUAUAUUUAUGGGUACUUUAGUUAUUUUAUAAUUAAAAAUAUUAAAAUUAGAAAAUAAAUUAGUCAUUCCAAUAAGCAAAUAAUAGCUAGUUAUGAAGAUAUUUUAAGAAAAUAAAAAUAAAAACCCUAUAGAUACCCCCAAAAAAUCUUUUAUUGUUUCUCAGAUUAAGUAUUUGUUGAAGUUUGAAUGAUUUGAUGCUCUUUUCUUAAUCCGAUAGCAAGUGGAAGCUAUCACUUCACCAUUGAGGAGGCUUUUGGAUCAUGUGAAACAUUAGCUAUAUUUAUUUUUGUUAAAUAUUUAUUUAUAUCUACAAUGGAAUGUCUGUGAAAUAGUUUUAAAAAUUUUAAAAGUUUUUAGAAUGGUAACAUAUAGUUUGACUAGUGUUUAUAUGUUACUGUAAAUUUUUUUUCUUAGUUGUUUGCAUUGAUAUAGUUGGUGCAUUAUAAGAAUAUCAAUACGAUAAUAAUUUAAAUUUGAUAAUAAUGGCUACAAAAUAAAAAAUAUAAAUUAUUAUUAUUAAAUUUAUUGAUUUAUUUAAUUAUAUGGGUUUUUAAUUUUGUAUAGAUUAAAUGACUUUUGUAAUUAUUUAACCGCUUAUUAUGAAAGUUUAGGAGUCGAUGAUAUUAGUGAUAAGAUUAAAGAUAUUAAAAAAUUAAUUAUUAACUUACAUAAUGUUAACUAUAGUAGACAACAUGAUACCUUUGAAACUUCUUGGAUCUAAGUUAGCAAAGGUAAUAAAAUUUGUAAGGGAGAAAAACUAUUAUUACAAAGACAAAAGCAUCGAAAGGAUCUUAAAGCUAAAACUUCAAGUUUAUUUUGUAUCUAAUAAUGUUUUUAAAGUUUGAUGAUAGCUCUAAGUAUAGAGUUUUCUAUUCUUGAAUAAUGGACAUGAUACAUAAAAACAUUUUUAGUUUUAAGGAUUAAUACUAGUACUUUAGUGUCCAUAGUAUCUGUGGAGUCAACCUUCAAUAUAAGAGGACGAGUUCUAUGUGAAACUAGAUUAAAUAUGACUCUCGAACCAAUUGAUGUUUAAGUAUGUAUUAAUAGAUAAAAGCGAUAAAAUAGAACCAAUACAAAGAUGUCCAAUAUUAAAAUUGAUUAAAUAUUUAUAAAUUUACAUAAAUUUGUAUUAACUUUUUUUAUUAUAUCCUAACACAUUAUACAUCCAUGUUUAAAUUAAAAAAAUUAUAAUUUUUAAAUAAAAAUAAUAAAAAAAAUAUCAGUUCAAACUAAAAUCAAAAUCGAUCAAACUGGAACUGAACCUUACCGGUUCGAUUUUUUAUUAUAAAUUUUGCCAAACUAGAAAUGAUAAUUCCGGAAUUGAAAUCAAUUUACUUAGACUAGAUAUAACCUUACUGAAAGCCACCCUCUCCAUAAUCUGAGACUUGUUCUUUAACUCAAAACACAAUGCCCUAUCAAUAUUAAGAUUAUCAAAUCUUAUAUUUGCUGGUUUAGUUAGUGAGUUGAAGGAGAAUAUAAUAAUAUGGUAACAAUAAAAAGAGAUUUGAAUGCUUUAAAUUUGACUACAUAUGUUUUCUUACACAGAGCAUAAAUAGUUUGGAUAUUAUGGCUUUUGUUAUUAUUGUUAUUGUUUGCACUUGUUGGAUUUGUUAGCAAAUUCUCACUGAUUUAGAUUAUGUCAGUGAAGAUUCUCACUGAUUUAGAUUAUGGUUUUAUUGAGAAAGUUCUUUACUACAGCUGAAGCCAUUGAUGUCACCGGCCGCCCGAUAAGUGGGCCGAGCGAGCGAGUUCAACCGGGUGCAGCCCAGGCGCCCACGUGAUUCAGAUUGCCUCAAGCCCGAGUCAAGUCAAUUUGGACAAAUGGUUCGAUUGAACCAGAUGAGAACGGCUUCCUCAAAAUUCCCACCCGUGCCCUAACUGCAGAGGUGAAACUGUCUCCUCCUAUACAGCGACCGCGAAUGCGGCGUUUUACUUGGCGAAAGGCGGCUGAAGCGGCGGCAUCUUCCUCCGUCGAGCUCUUAUCGCUGCGGCGUUUUCCUCGGAGAACGGUGGAUGCUGCGGCUUCCUCUCCGUCGGCGAAUGGUGACAGCGCCCGGUAUCUCUCUCUUACUCCUCCUCCUCUUCCUCCGUCGCCGUUAAUUAUAUGUGCUUUCCUCCGUCGCACAAUUCCUUCCCCUCUCUCUUCCCCCGUUCAUCGCAGCCCACGGCCGCCCCCGCCUCGUCGCUGCCCCCUUUCCCCAAUCCCUCCUUCCUCUUCCCCUUUCGCGACAGCUCUCCCGCUUCCCGCUUCCCGCUUCCCCGACACCGCCCCCAGACUCCAUAUGUAGCUGAUGCUACAUAUAAUUUUUUUUACUGUAGUUGAAGUUAUUUACAUGAGCAAUCUUUCUCAUAAAUUAAGUUCUUUUAUCAGCAUAGAACCAAAUAAACUAGUAGCAUUUCUUGAUUGAGGCAGUUUUCUUAGCUCUGUAUUCAUUUUUAAGAAAAUUUAUUGCCUUUCUCUGGUCUUCCAGCUAUGUUGUUUUUUUUUUUUGUCAAGUUGCUUAGCAUCAUCAACAAUGCCUUUUUUAGCAUGUUGAACCUCACAAUUUACUGUUGUUAAUUAAUUCAACAGUGUCUUUUCUACUGACCGGUCUUGCAAGACUUAUAACUAGAUCAUCUCUCUAAAUUCUUGAUGAAAAGGAUCAAUUAUUCUGGAAGUGCUUAUUUGAAAUGUUCCAGGUUUUAGUUAUAGGACAUUAGUGAAUCUGAUGUUAGAGAAAACAUUAUGCACCUUCCUGUUACUCUGAAUUCUGUACUACCAUUUGCGAGUCAUUGAUGUUCAACCUACAAGUAUAAACUUGAGUAUCGUCUGUGUACGAUCGACAUUGUAAAUGCCUAUGCCACUCUUAUGCAGCAUAUUUGAUGAAGAUACAUUUGAUAUGGUUUUUCAAUUGCUACAGGGAUAUAGGAUGCUUGAUAGUGUCUAAACCCACCAACUACAAUAUAAAAAUAAGUGGAAGAUAGUGUCUGUGCUCUGGUGUUAUAUGAUGCCAGUAUUUCAGUGGUGGAGAAUUGCUCGGAUGUGAGCAUUAGAAUGAGUAACGAAUUAUAGGUACUCGUUAUCAACUCUCAAACACCAUUUAGAGACUUAUCUCUGGAAGAAAUGGCUGAUUGGAGCUGAAUGCAUGUGGAUUAACACGAGUGGUAUAGGAAUGUUGUCUGAGACAGAUGAUUAGUAGAAAUUUUUCAACAUCCUUGAUUUGAGGUAGAAGAGGAAUUUGGACUUGGAGAGGGCAGAUUAAGACUACUUUUCUUGUAUUUUUCUGCAAACAGUACGUGAUACUGCCUCAAAAGACAAUGUUUUUGGUGCAGAAGAGGCUCUUUUGCCUUCUCUCGUGUAACAAGUCCACUGUCCAUGUUUCCUCCUAUCAACUCUGCAGUCUGUUUAGCUUUUCCACUGCCGAAGAGCACAGUUCAAAUCAUGGAUCCAACUUUACGUUGGUCGACCCCCUUGAGUCAUGUGAACUUUCCUCAAAAGAGGCUGCAAAAAGGGCCAAGGAUCGCAUCUGUGAAAAAGAACUUUCAAGUUCAAGUCCUUCCAUUGAGUUCUUCAAGCAGAGCGGUUGGAGUGAUCCACUAGUCAUGAAGCUUUUGCAGAGGGAACCCAGGCUUCUACGUGCUAACGUAGAGACUAUCCUGAAGCCUAGGAUGAGAUCUUUGCAGGACAUGGGAUUUUCUGACACUGAAAUAGUUCAGCUGGUUUCAUCAUGUCCGUGUCUGCUCUAUAUACGUGAUAUCCAACCAAGGAUCGACUUCUGGAGGUCACUUCUUGGUUCUAAUGAGAUGUUAAUUAAAGCCUGCAGGAGGAACAUGUUUCUCCUUGCUUCUAGCUUGGCUCGAAAGAUUGAGCCCAAUGUAUCUCUCUCGAGGGAAUGUGGCAUCAGUGAGCAACACAUCGCGCAGAUGGUAGUGAGACUACCAAGUUUUUUAUGUCAUACAGAAAAAUGUAUCAAGGAAGCGAUCAAACAUGUUGAGGAGUUGGGUGUGUCACGUGACUGUAAAAAGUUCCCUCGUGCACUUUUAACAGUCGUGACGCUGAGCAGGUCCAGGCUUGAUGCUACCUUUGCAACCCUGAUCAGCUAUGGGUGGUCCCAACCAGAUUGCGUUGCUGCAUUCAGGAAGCAUCCAUCCAUUUGGUCUUUGUCAAAGAAGACCUUAUGUGACAAGAUGACAUUCCUGAUGAAGGAAGCUGGUUGUGAGCUGACAUAUAUCAUUUGCCGUCCGGUGCUUCUUACAUAUAGCUUGGAGAAGAGGUUGAGACCUCGAUAUGAAGUUCUGAAUUUUCUUGAUCAGAAUAAAUUGCUGGAUAAAGGACAUGACCUGCUAUCUGUCAUCCUGCUAACUGAAGAGAAGUUCAGAAACAAAUUCCUUUUCCUGCUACGCGAGGAGAAAUUUAUUUCUGUGCAGGGAAAGCACGAUGUUGUUGCGGUAACCUAGGAUUGCAAGUGCUUCCUUAAGACAAAGUGUAA
rnacentral:lncRNA from 1 species